GAACAAUUUCUGAUCAGCAUAACAACUGCGGAUCGGCUAGUCUUCCGGAUCAAUCCAUCUAACUGAGCUUUGGUUGGAAAAUUAUUAGUCCCAACUCUUAGUCGGUACACUACACUCUCUGAUCUCUUCUCGAAAGCAGAUUGAUCGGGCUCAGAUUCAAAAGGCAGACGCCAACUGUCCAUAACUGUGAAUACUAUCUGGGUGUAAGUGUCUGAUCCUAAAAAUCUUUCAGAUGUAAUCAUCUGAUCUUGAGAAUCACAACUAAAUAACCGUACC
rnacentral:lncRNA from 1 species